GCAAUGGACGAAAGUCUGACGGAGCAACGCCGCGUGAGUGAUGAAGGCUUUCGGGUCGUAAAACUCUGUUGUUAGGGAAGAACAAGUGCUAGUUGAAUAAGCUGGCACCUUGACGGUACCUAACCAGAAAGCCACGGCUAACUACGUGCCAGCAGCCGCGGUAAUACGUAGGUGGCAAACGUUAUCCGGAAUUAUUGGGCGUAAAGCGCGCGCAGGUGGUUUCUUAAGUCUGAUGUGAAAGCCCACGGCUCAACCGUGGAGGGUCAUUGGAAACUGGGAGACUUGAGUGCAGAAGAGGAAAGUGGAAUUCCAUGUGUAGCGGUGAAAUGCGUAGAGAUAUGGAGGAACACCAGUGGCGAAGGCGACUUUCUGGUCUGUAACUGACACUGAGGCGCGAAAGCGUGGGGAGCAAACAGGAUUAGAUACCCUGGUAGUCCACGCCGUAAACGAUGAGUGCUAAGUGUUAGAGGGUUUCCGCCCUUUAGUGCUGAAGUUAACGCAUUAAGCACUCCGCCUGGG
rnacentral:rRNA from 1 species